UCUUAACUGACACUACCAAGUUUGCUUAUAUGGCUUUUAAUCCACAUUCAGGCAAACUUCCCUGGGGAGAGCAUUCCACAGACGGGGAGCCACUGCAGAGCAGGCCCGUUCUCGUGUUGCCACCCUCCAGACAUCUUGAGGAGGAGGCACACAAAGAAGGGCCUCAGAAGAUGAUCUCAGGGACCAGGUAGGUUCCUAUGGGAAGAGGCAGUUCUUGAUGUAUUGCGAUCCUGAGCCGUUCUUUUGUGGAAGCCAUCAUUUAUAGUGAUAUCAUAGUGCUAUAAAUGUAUGGUGUGCAUGUGGCCUGUCUGAUGAGGCAAAAGUCAUUUUCAACCUUCAUUGAAAGCUUUCUGUUCUGUCACAGUUACAAUUCCUUAUUGAGCAUGGCAGUGGGACUGCUGAUGAAUACAGUGGUACCUCGGGUUACAAACACUUCAGGUUACAGACUCUGCUAACCCGGAAGUAGUACCUUGGGUUAAGAACUUUACCUCAGGAUGAGAACAGAAAUCACUUGGCGGUGGUGCGGCAGCAGUGGGAGGCCCCAUUAGUUAAAGUGGUACUUCAGGUUAAGAACAAUUUCAGGUUAAGAACGGACCUCUGGGACGAAUUAAGUUCUUAACCAGAGGUACCACUGUAGUCUAAAAUUUCCUCCCUUAAAUAGCCACUUUUAAAUGUCCCUUAGUUUCACUUUCUGUGCAGGAGUGUCUAAUGUUAAUGAUUUCACACACAGAGAGAGGGGGGUUAAUGUAUAAAAAAUGAAAUUUGAUUAGCUUGGAACACAUUUCCCUCCUACCGUCCCACUGCUAGGAAUAGAAAAUUCACAAUAAUGAAGAAUUGAGGAAAGCUAGUCAAGGGGCAAUUAACGGGGCAAUGCAUCAUAAUCUGGCUGCUGUGAGCAAGUGAAAACAAUAAAAGGGCAGCAUUUAGAAGCAGAAAAUGUUUAUUUAAGAACUAGUAGUGGCCAGUAUGGUAGGUCACAGCCACCCUCCCAACACUGGCAUUGGAGCUUACAUGGGCUUCAGCUGUUCCAUUUUUCUCUUUCCUCCUCUGUUUUCUUGGACCACAUGGAAAGUGACACAGAUUAGAAUUAGAGUGUUUCUUCAUCUCUAGUGUGUAAACAGCCUUUGCUGUUCUUGUACAUAUUAACUUAAGCAAGAAGGGUGUCUACACCUUUGGACUAUUGCAAUGGCAAUUAGCCACUCAUAUCUGGAAGAAAAGGUUCAUUGUCAGCACUGUGGUUUUUUAUUUUAUUUUUGUAAGUCCCUAGUACCAGCAUUCUUCUGUCAUCAUGACCUUAGUCUUUAUCACUUAAUUGGAGAUGUUCUACUACAGCCGACUGUUCCUAGACAACAUCUCAUUAAUUCAAGCAACUAGUUACAACAUCUGGUAAAGGCUGUCUCAUCUUUGAGUGGAAUUAUUUUUCUUCUUCCAAAUGGCUUUUUUUCACGUAGGAAUGACUAAAACCAAACGUCCACUGGCACUAGGUGCCCAACCUUUUUGAUUUCCUAACAAUAACAAUAUCACCUGCUGAUCAUGAGAAACGGGAUUUUACACGAACAGUGAUGAACUCUAACCUUCAGUUAUUAGCAUCUAUUUGUCAUCCCAAAGAGUGGUUGAGUUUAACCUGUGAGGAAGUGAUGAGUUAGGAGCACCAACUCAAUCAUUUCAGUAACAUUUAAAAAGUAAGCACACAGUCACUAAUAUCUAUAUGAAACAAAAAAGGGAUCCAUUACCAUACAGCUUCCAUAAAAAAUAUGUGCACAUAGGUGUUCAUUUUUCAGGCAAUGAAGAGUCAUUCCGGGGUCAUUCGUCUGAAUAUGGCCAAUAGCAGCCGUUCCCUCAAAGCAUUUACCACCUGGUAUGAUGGGACAAAAGACAAUAGCAUGACAAUGAAAAGUAUUGGUCAUAUCCCACUUUAAAUGAGCCACCAUGUAGAUAUUUCUCUUAUUUGAUCGUUUAAGUAUGUCCAGAACAGAUGUUAUUUUUAUCUGUGCUUUAAAAAUUGUACACUAAAUAUGUUUGUUUAUAUACUGUUUCAACUCCAGUUGAAUCUAUCUAUCUGGUUGUCUGUCUGUCCAUCUAAAUGUAUAAAAAGUGCUUAAAUAUACAGUGGUACCGCGGGUUACAUACACUUCAGGUUACACACUCCACUAACCCAGAAAUAGUGUUUCAGGUUAAGAACUUUGCUUCAGGAUAAGAACGGCACGGCGGCAGCAGGUGGCCCCAUUAGCUAAAGUGGUGCUUCAGGUUAAGAACAGUUUCAGGUUAAGAACGGACCUCUGGAACGAAUUAAGUACUUAACUCAAGGUACCACUGUAUACUGUAUACUGUAUACUGUUAUUCAUAUAAAAUACGUAACUAUUUAAAACCAGGAUAAUUAGAAAUAGUGCAAAUAUUAUAGAUAUAGAUAUAGAUAUAGAUAUAGAUAUAGAUAUAGAUAUAGAUAUAGAUAUAGAUAUAUAGUAUUUUAUUAAUUUGCAGUAAAAUAAUAUAAAUUCCAACAAAACCUGCAGAAUGUUACAAUGUUUUAGACAACGUAGUCUGCAUUGUUCCACAUGGAAAACUUGAAAUCUUAGGAAAGAUCAAACAAAACCCAAGUGCUUCUUAAAAUACAGAAGUACUGUUCAUUCAGUGCCAUGUAGGUCUAUUUUGUGACAGACAACAGGAAAAUGUUUCUCCCUCUGGUGGCCAAAAUCAUAAAGAGAAGACAUGACCUUUUCCCCUAAUGGUAUGGUAAAAAAAGGCAAAGGACCCCUGGACAGUUAAGUCCAGUCAAAGAUGACUAUGGGGUUGUGGUGCUCAUCUCGCUUUCAGGCCGAGGGAGCCGGCGUUUGUCCACAGACAGCUUUCCAGGUCAUGUGGCCAGCAAGACUAAACUGCUUCUGGCACAAUGGGACACCGUGACAGAAACCAGAGCACACAGAAAUGCCAUUUACCUUCCCUCCACAGUGGUACCUAUUUAUCUACUUGCACUGGCGGGCUUUCAGAUUGCUAGGUUGGCAGGAGCUGGGACAGAGCAAUGGGAGCUCAUCUUGUUGCGUGGAUUCAAACCGCCAACCUUCCGAUCGGAAAGCCCAAGAAGCUCAGUGGUUUAGACCACAGCGCUACCCACAUUCCCUAAUGGUAUAUUCCAUUUGACAAGAUGGCUGGCAAAUUCCAAAUCACCCUCCUCCAUCCCGUCUCACCUCUUGUAAUUAAGUGAUGCUCAUUUCCUCAGCUGAUGGGUCUUGGAUAUGGAGAACCACCUUCUUCUAUGCUGUUUUGGUUAGUGUUGGUUAUGUUGUUUUCUUUAAUGUUUUUAUGAACUGCUUUGCAUGCCAUAUUUUUGCUUACUUUUACACUUGCUGUGGGUGAUGCUGCCUGCAAAUAAGGCAAGCCACGUAUUUUAGAAAUUAUAAAUCAAUCAAGUUCCUAAUCUACUCCCCCAAACAUCCCAAAAAAUUCCCCCGUCUCCAUGCUUCUAUAGAAAAAUAUCAAUGGUCUGUUCCAGCUGCUAAAUUAAACAAUACAAUAUUCUUUUUUGUAUGCAUGCAGGUGACUUUGAUUAGGUUAUUUUAUUUUACCUUUUUAGCGCAGUCCAUGAUUUAGAUAUGGCUGUGUGCAUUGGAGAGCCUAAGUUACCAAAGCCGAGGAAAAGGAUUAGCAAUUGUGGCAUGAAAGGAAAUGAAAGUAUCAAGGGAAGCUAAUAGACGUAGCAUUCAAACAAAAACAAGCACCAAAGAGAGGAUCUGAGGAGCACUAAGUGAACAUGCCUUGAUUCCUCUGACUUUUACAUUCCAAAAUGCAAAUACACGUAAUUGUUUGCAAAAAGGAAAAAAGAAAACAACAAUGGUUGUGCCCAGAAUGAAACAAAAAAGAGAGAGAGAGACAAAAUGGAGAUCACAUGAAUGAAACAUCAAAUGGGAAUGUAAACAGUUUCAAACAGAAUCUAUUCUUUCUCUGUCACAGUGUGUAGAUUUGGUUUGAUUUCAUCUCUUAAGCCAUGUGAGCUAUAGCACCUUCCAGAUGUUGUAGGACUACAAUUCCCAUCAUCCUGGGCUACUGGCCAUGCUCAAAAGCAGCUCACCAGGUAGGGCAGAGCCGCUACACUAGGCUGCCAGCAGGAGGGUUGCUGUUGCUUGCCAAGAGGGAGAGGCGGCACGGAAGUCAACAUGGAACAAAUACACUGGUGAAGCCAAUCCGACACUCUUUCUAUUGUAUUUGCACCAUGCUGACCUCCCCUACUGCCUCACACCUUCCCCCAGUGGCAUAGCAUGGGGGGGUCACAGGGGCGGUCGCCCCAGGCACAAAAAUUUUAGGGGGUGCAAAAUUUUAACAGCCGGUGUUGCCUCAAUACAGCUGCACGCUUCUGUCACUGGGGUCUGUUGAAAGUGACUUCUCCAUGUGAACCAGGAAGUGACAUCUCCAGAUGACAGAACGACUCUUUUUUUCUUAUCUCUGUGGCGCUGCGAUCUCCUGGGUGAUGUGGACGCCGUUAGGCAGUUGAAUGUGCAUGCAUGCUCCAUCCGUUUCCCUCUCUCCCACGUGGCCCCGGGCACUGGCAACCCAUGCUACACCACUGCCUCCCCUUCUCCUUCCCAGUAAGUAACAGCAACCCACCUGCUGGGGAACUAGCAUUAACAGCUGUGCCCCACCUGGCAAGCCACCUCUGGCUCUGAUAUAUGGGGCCAGUGGGAGUCAGCGUCCAAAAAUGUCUGGAGGGCACGCCAUUGGCUCCCCCGCCUUACAGUAUAAACUUUUUCCCAUGCAGCGUUAACACCUGAAGCUGUAGUGCAGAUAAGGACAUUAGCUUUCACUUUCAAAACUCUGCCCAAACUCCUGCCUGCCUGUGUUUAGAAACCUUGCCUUCUAUUAAAUUUAAUCAUUUCCCCCUGUGGCUUUAAAUUGAGGGCAUCUCCUGUUUAAAUUCAAUUACUUUCCCAUUUAGAUUCAAUGCCGAUAAUAGUAAUAAUAAUAUUUUAACUUUGCAUAAAAGUACCCUGAUGAAAGUGAAUGGGAAAAGUAUGGCAGUGGAACAGAGUGGCUACUAAACAAUGAUAUAUGAAUUUAUUAAUAAAAAGAGAAGCAUUUAUUGCAGCUUUUGUGAAGAUUUAAGUCCUUCCUAUUAAUAAAGGGAGUGAACCGUUGCUCACUGGGGCAAGACGCACUGCAAUGCAACAUAGGUAAGGGGUCAUUCUUUCCCCCCUGGAAAUCAAUUAUAUUCGCUUAAUGCAUGCUGUUCUAUAAAAUCAGUAUAUUAUUGCUGUGGCUUAUUUUAUGGAUUGCUGUUAUAAGAUUAAUUCAGAUUUCAAUAGAGGGAGCAAAAUACAUCAAAUAUGUUUCCAUUUUGAAGAAAAGGCUUUGCAGAGGGUGGGGUUUUCUGGGGGGAAUGGGGAGGGAUAACAAAAGUGCAUGUCCAAAAUAUUCACUGUCUCUUUGUCUCUUUAAAAAUUUCAAGGGGAAUCCUUGGCCCCACCAGACUUUUUUGGGUGGUGGGGAGGCUUGUGGAUAUUUACUGCAACCUGUAAUAAACUCAGUUAAUUUAUGUGCAUUAGUGAUGGGUUGUUUUUUUUAAUAAUAUUUAUUAUUUUUCCAAAAACACUAAAAGAAGAAAACAAAAAGAAAAAGAAAAACAAUACAAUACAACACAUCGAAUUAACAAAACAAGAUUAAGACAAUAAAAUAAAUCAACCAAUUCCGUUAUCCCAUCUUUCAUUCACUUAUUUCCACGACCUCCUCACACCUCCCUUUUUGUAUUCCACUUCUGUUAGUUAUUUCAGCAAUUCCUUUCCAUCCUCCUCUGUUUUCAAUCCUAUAAUUAUCUUAACUCAUUCUAACCUUAUUUUUUUCCUUUAAUACUCUAUUAACCUAUCUAUACUUAAUUCCUUAUAAUAUUUCUACUAAAGCCGUAUAACUUCAUUCCAACAUUUUUCUAACAUUCAUUAAUUUUACAAUAUUUCUGUAAAUAGUCUUUAAACUUUUUCCAAUCUUCUUCCACCGACUCUUCUCCCUGGUCUCGGAUUCUGCCAGUCAUUUCCGCCAAUUCCAUAUAGUCCAUCAACUUCAUCUGCCAUUCUUCCCGGGUGGGUAAAUCUUGUGUCUUCCAAUACUUCGCGAUGAGUAUUCUUGCUGCUGUUGUAGCAUACAUAAAAAAACGCACUGGGCAGAAACUAAACAAUAUGUCUGUUCCAAAAUUGUUGCAGGCACUAUCCGCAUUGAAAGCCGGAUUGCAUAUAACCACCAUCCCAACAUCACCAUGAGCGAAAAUUGUCAUGAAAGCACAAUUUUUAAAAAGACACCUGUAAGGGCCCCUUAUUUACAGAGGAACAUAGCCUGGAAACAAUUCAUAACUUGGAAACAACAGUCUGUGGAAGGGUAAGAAACCUGUGGCCCUCCAGAUGUUUCUGGACUACAGCUCCCAUCAGCCCCAGUUAGCAUAGCCAAUGGUCAGGGGUGGUAGGUAUAGAAAAUAUAUUAAGAAUGCAAGGUGAAUCCGAUUAAAUGUUUACAGAAUUCCAAAUCAUUUAUGGUAGGGUUGCCAUAUUUCAAAAAAUAAAAAUCCAGACACAAAAGUUGUUGAGCUCCCCCCCCACCCGCUAUUUUUCUUUUUUGGGGGGGGGAGGGGACACUGGCUACAAGCCGUGACAGGAUUAGAGGAUUAGAGAGCAGUGCAAAUCUGAUUACUCAAUACCAUAUUCAUUUCCCCUGACAUGUUGAAGACAUGGAUUGGAUUAGAUGGAUCCAAGAGAGUAGUUCAUGGGUUCUCUUCCAUUUCCAUUCUCGUGUUUUAUUAUAGCCAACCAUCAUAUAUAAAUAGUUGAAAUUAUUUGAAAUUAUGCUGGUGACUAGGAAAAAGAGGUUUCCCUUUUUCAUUUAAGACAUAACAGAAUUUCCGUAAGACACAGGUGCUCACACUUUUUUUUAGAUCCAUUUUUUUAUUAAAAACAACAGCACCAGAUUUUCUUUUGUUUCACAAAUCAAGGCACUUACAUGAUUCAUGUUUUCAUAACAAUAUUCUUAGCUUUCUAAUGCAACAGAGUUUGUUUUGGUUUUUUUAAGCAAAGUUCUGUGUUGUGGUGGAUGGUGUUGUGAGGCCACACCACUCAUCUGACCUUUGCACAGCUGAGCUUACAGGGACAUGGGAGGAGGAGGAAGGCAGUGACAGUGAGGUCAGCAUGGUGCAAACACAAUGGGAAGAGUGCCUAAUGGUUUCUGCCAGAACAUUUGCACCAUAUCAGGCUUACUGCCACCUCACCACUCCUCUCUUUUCUAAAAAAAAACUUUUUAAUUGAGAUUUACUCUACAUAUAACAUAUAACACAAAACACACAAUACAAUACACCAUUAUACACUACAAUAUACUAAAAUACAGACCUAUAUAAUAUCAACACCAUAAUACAAAACUAUACUAUACAUACUAUACAAUAAAUUCUAUUUACCUACCCCACACGAACACACCCACAGUGAUUUGACUUCCAACCCUUCUCAUUGUACUGAUUUAUGUUUAAUUGGCCUAAUCCUAAAAGCAUUUCUUUUUGAAAAAUCUCUUCACUCAGUUAUUCUCCACUCUAAUUUCAUUAUCUUCUCUCCAUUUCCUAGAUUAAUUCAAUAUCUGUCAGGAGAUCUACUUUCUCCAUGUAGUUUUUAAGAUCCAGGAUAUAGGAAAAAAACAUGUUUGAGUCAAUGGGAAGGGCUGUGGAAACGGAAUAUGAAAAUUUUGGCAUGCUACAAUCUAAGAGAAAAUGUAAUGAAGAUGCAGUACAGAUGGUAUCUGAUCCCGGUCAGGUUGGCCAAAACGUAUAAAAACUGCAGGGAUGGAUAUCAAAGAUGUAACAACGGGGCAGGCACCUUCUUGCACAUGUGGUGGGAGUGCAAAGAGAUAGGAAGAUUCUGGGAUAGCAUCUAUAAUGAACUUUAAAAAAUGUUUAAAUUUACAUUUUAAAAAACCCCAGAAUCUUUCUGAAAUCAAGAAAAUAGACCAUUAUUUAUGUAUGCAACUACGGCGGCAAGGAUCUUAAUUGCCCAAAAUUGGAAAAGUAACAGCAUCCCCACAAAAACAGACUGGUUAUCUAAAUUCUUGAAUACUUGUUGUUGUUUAGUCAUUUAGUCGUGUCUGAUUCUUCGUGACCCCAUGGACCAGAGCAUGCCAGGCACUCUUGUCUUCCACUGGCUCCCGCAGUUUGGUCAAACUCGUGCUGGUAGCUUCGAGAACACUAUCCAACCAUCUCGUCCUCUGCCGUCCCCUUCUCCUCGUGCCCUCAAUCUUUCCAAGCAUCAGGGUCUUUUCCAGGGAGUCUUCUCUUCUCAUGAGGUGGCCAAAGUAUUGGAGUCUCAGCUUCUGUCCUUCCAGUGAGCACUCAGGGCUGAUUUCCUUAAGAAUGGAUAGGUUUGAUCUUCUUGCAGUCCAUGGGACUCUCAAGAGUCUCCUCCAGCAUAAUAAUUCAAAAGCAUCAAUUCUUCGGCAAUCAGCCUUCUUUAUGGUCCAGCUCUCAGUUCCAUACAUCACUACUGGGAAAACCAUGGCUUUAACUAUACGGACCUUUGUUGGCAAGGUGAUGUCUCUGCUUUUUAAGAUGCUGGAUUGAAUAUUUACAUAUCACCAAAAUAACAGGGAGAGUUAGAGGGAAAACUGUACAAAAGGUUAAUAAGGAAUGGAUUAUCUUUAAAGAAUAUCUUAAAACACCACUCCUCUCUGUCCCAGUAUGCUGCAGUGACUCAGCCAGAUGGACCUCAGGUGAAUAGUUCAGCCUCAUCCUGCUGUCCACUGCUAUAAGUCACAUAUAAUAUUUCUCAGCUUUAGCCUCAGAUCAAAUUCAGAAUUCUUCCAGCUUCUAAAUUUGGAAGAACAGAGAGCUGUGUGGAAAAGCAGAAUGGAGCUUGCAAACCACCUGUGGUCCAUUGAACACAUUUUGAGAACCUCUUUGGCAUAAAAGUAACCAUCUGAACAUUAGGAUAUCAGCUUAAUUCAUUGCUCCUCUAGUGAAUCCACAGCAAUGCUUACAGGGCCUUUUAAGAACUUGUACUAAUUUUUACUUGCAUAUUGCAUUUCAUAAUAACAACCAGAACCUGACUUUCCAAGAUGUGUUUUUAGGGCAAUUACUACAAUUCUCCGGUGGUCACUUUACAUUAGAUUUCAAGCCUUAUAAAACAACAUGAGGUGUGCUAUAAUCACUCUGAAAUAUACAGCCUUUCAUUUCCUAUUGCCUAAUUACGGAGGGUAUUUCACAGAAGAGAUACAAUUACUAGACUGUUGUUUUUUAUUAUCUUUUACUAAACAGCAAAGAGGAAAAAUCUCUCAUUCACAACAAUAUGAGCCAAGCCAUUGCAAAUGAAUGCCUUUUAUGAAUCAGGAGGGGAACAAAUGCCAUAUUGUUAUAGAAUUGAAGGGACACCCCCCUCCAACCCUAGAAAUUAAUAAAUGGUAGGAUUUUGAUUAUUUGGAAUACUGAAGGGAAGAUUGGAGGCUAAGUUUCCUUCCAAGCCGGUGUCUCACCUGGGAUAGAGGCAUUAACAUGAAGAAUAGUGUUGAUGGUCCAUCUGAGAGUAAUCUUGGGCCUGGGAAGACAGAGGUUGCCAUGGUGAUGGGGUGUGUGUUUGAGAUGGCAGGAAAAGAGAGCCUUUAGGGCAAGGUGUGCUGGGAAGAAGGAGGGGAGAACAAAGGGGCAGAUCCAUCUUGGGCAGGCUGGCUGAAGGCUAGCUAGUAGACAUGCCUUUCACUCCAGUGCUGCACUGCUGUGGGAAACAAGUCUCUCUUGAUAUGACCAUGCUGUAAAUUCUGGACUCCUUCCAUGCAGACUGAAGGUGGAAAUAUGUGAAUAAAUCAUAUUUCUUAAAGCUACGGCAGUCUCCAUCGCAUCUUCAGCUCUCCAAAGGAACACAACUCCUGGGUGGUGCGACACAGUGCACUGCUCUCCCUUUCUCCCAUUCUGAAUUACAAUAGUCCUUCAGACUAAGGACAGUGAAUAUUUGUCCAUCACUUGGCUCGUAAUCUCGCAAUGGGUCUUUUGUUCUGUAUUUCAGAUUGCACACCAGAUGACGUUGCAGAUUCAAAGCAUGUGUUGAAGUAAAUAAAAAUGUGCAGUGAAAUGCCAUAUUUUUCCAUGUAUAAGACUAGGUUUUUUUCCUAAAAAACAAUGCCCAAAAUUAAGGGGGUGUCUUAUACACAGAUAGUGCCAAGGGUGGAUUUUCUUAAAUCUGAGUUCCCCAAAAUAGGGGCGUCUUAUAGAUGGAAAAAUACGGCGUGUGUGUGUGUAAGAAUAAGGAAGAGGUGGUGUCCACACCCACUUUUAGCCACACCCACUGCUGACAUGUGGCCACUAGAGAAUUGGCCAAAGCUGAAUCACCCCCUUCCUAGGUAAAUACUGAUCUGCCCAUAUCAGCAUCAUAGUUAUAAGCUGCUGGUUUCCAUCAUUAACCUAUUACCAAAUUCUGGGGGAUGCGUAUAGUGAAAAGGGUGGAAAUGCGGGCAGGUUGGGGAGGAGAUAGAGAGACAGAGAGAGACAUCCAGACAGAGAGAGGGGGAAUAAAAUUUCUAUAGGGCAUAUAGGUAGGAGACUUUUUUUAAAAAAUAACUUUUUUAGGCUUCUCCUUUAAGUUGGAAAGGUUGUGUGCUAUGUUUCAGCAAUCAACCUAUAUUCCUCAGAACAGUUAUUGAAGAGAAUAUCUAAAUCGGAAUGGCGAUUUAUGCAUAAAGGGCAAUCCAGUCAGAUGGGCAGGAUACAAAUAAAAUAUAACAGCAGCAGCAGCCACACAAGGAGUUUCUUUUUAGAGAAAAGAGUAGCCAACAUGGUUCUUUCCAGAUAUCAUUGGACUACACUUCCCAUGCUCCAUGCUGGCUGGUCCUGAUGGGAGUUGGAGUCCAACAAUAUCUGAAAGGCACCACUUUGACCAUCUCUGUAUUAGCAGAAAGCCUCGCUGUACAUUCAAGACAAAGAUCCUGACAUGAGUGACAGAAGCAUUUACCAUCAGGUGUCCAGGAAAUAACAGUACCGUCUUUUCAGAUAGAAAAUGUUACUUAUGCACCAAUGAAUGUUGGGCAAGACUACUUUUCAAGAAGGAUGAGAAAUGGCUUUUCCAAGGCAAGGCUUUGCAGUACAUUUUAGGUGAUGGAGCCCUUUCUCUCUUUGUCUAUGUUCUUUUGCUAGGAAGAGCACUCAUGUACCAUUGUCAAUGAUGCAAGUCUCAAGUCAGCUAGGUAAUUUAGAUGCAAACACCACUUUAAAAUAUACAGUAAAAAAAGAGUGAGAAAAUGAUUGUGCGUUACAGUUGUAUUACAGUAGCACAGGGCCCCCUGCAGGGGUGUAGUCUUGAGAAGUACUGUAUUUUUUGCUCUAUAAGACGCAUCAGACGACAAGACGCACCUAGUUUUUGGAGGAGGAAAACAAGAAAAAAAAUAUUCUGAAUCUCAGAAGCUAGAACAGCAAGAGGGAUCGCUGCGCAGUGAAAGCAGCAAUCAUUCUUGCUGUUCUGGCUUCUGGGAUAGCUGUGCAGCCUGCAUUCGCUCCAUAAGACGCACACACGCUUCCCCUUACUUUUUAGGAGGGAAAAAGUGAGUCUUAUAGAGCAAAAAAUACGGUACCUAAUGAUGCCAAGUUUUGAUGUUGGCCCCGUAUAGAAUAACUGUUCGUCUUUCUUAUAAGUUAUCAUACUUAAAUGUAUUUAUGAAACUAAUGCUGCAGUCCUAGCUCCACUCACCUUGGAGUAAUCCCCACUGAAUUCAAUAGAACUUACUUCUGAGUAGACAUGGUCAGGAUUGCAAAUCAGAACCAGUGAAAGCGGUGAAGGUCCUGUGUGAGUGUCUGGAGGUGGUUGGAGGAUGGAUGGCGGCUAACAGAUUGAGGUUGAAUCCUGACAAGACAGAAGUACUGCUUUUGGGGGACAGAAGGAGGUCAGGUGUGGAAGACUCCCUGGUCCUGAAUGGGGUAACUGUGCCCCAGAAGGACCAGGUGCGCAGCCUGGGCGUCAUUUUGGACUCACAGCUGUCCAUGGAGGCGCAGUUCAAUUCUCUGUCCAGGGCAGCUGUUUACCAGCUCCACCUGGUACGCAGGCUGAGACCCUAUCUGCCCGUGAACUGUCUUGCCAGAGUGGUGCAUGCUCUGGUUAUCUCUCGCUUGGACUACUUCAAUGUGCUCUAUGUGGGGCUACCUUUGAAGGUGACCCGGAAACUACAACUAAUCCAGAAUGCUGCAUCUAGACUGGUGACUGGGAGCGGCCGCCGAGACCACUUGAAAGACCUACAUUGGCUCCCAGUACGUUUCCGAGCACAAUUCAAAGUGUUGGUGUUGACCUUUAAAGCCCUAAACAGCCUCGGUCCAGUAUAUCUGAAGGAGCGUCUCCACCCCCAUCGUUCUACCCGGACACUGAGGUCCAGCACCGAGGGCCUUCUGGCGGUUCCCUCACUGCGAGAAGCCAAGUUACAGGGAACCAGGCAGAGGGCCUUCUCGGUAGUGGCACCCGCCCUGUGGAACGCCCUCCCACCAGAUGUCAAAAAGAACCACUACCAGACUUUUAGACGACAUCUGAAGGCAGCCCUGUUUAGGGAAGCUUUUAAUGUUUGAUGCAUUACUGUAUUUUAAUAUUGUGUUGAAAGCUGCCCAGAGUGGCUGGGGAAACCCAGCCAGAUGGGCAGGGUAUAAAUAAUAAAUUAUUAUUAUAUUAUUAUUAUAUUCCAUCUGUUUCUUUGUUCCUUCUCAUGAUAGAGCAGUGCCUAUGAAAUGCUCUCACUCAGCUCCCCACCAGAAGUUGCUUGGUACCUUCCUGCAGGAAAACCAUACCUGAGGUCCGAAAAUCAAGAUGGGUGUUUACAAGUAAGCAAUUUGGGGGAGGAAUCACAUAAGUAACGUGGUGUUUUUUUUAAUCCUUAUAGAAAAUGGUGUAUUAUUAGUUAAGUGAAAAGAUAGUGCUAUACCAGACACCAUCUCUGAAGCAACUAAAUUGGCAGAAAACCACUUUUUAGAGGAAAUUGCCCAAGACAUAAAAAUACCGCUGUGCCUCCAAAAAUACACAACAGCAGCAAAGUACAGAAAUAUUCUCUAGAAAUAUAAUUGAAUCUCAUUUUCUGAACACUAUGGCACAUACUGGGAUUCUGCCUCCGUGUAAUGUUCUGUAUACAUUACAUAUAAACAUCUACCACUCAAUAGCUCAAUUUUACUUGUAUUUAAGGCUUUACUCGCUGUGAAGGACCGGCUUCUGCUACACAAAAGCUACUUUGGAGAGGGGGAGGAAAACUUUCCAAAG